CUACGGGUUGCUGCAGUGAGGAAUAUUGGUCAAUGGGCGCGAGCCUGAACCAGCCAUCCCGCGUGCAGGAUGACGGCCCUAUGGGUUGUAAACUGCUUUUCUAUGCCAAGAAACCCUGUUACGAGUAACAGGUUGCCGGUAGCAUAGGAAUAAGCAUCGGCGUAACUCCGUGCCAGCAGCCGCGGUAAUACGGAGGAUGCAAGCGUUAUCCGGAUUCAUUGGGUUUAAAGGGUGCGCAGGCGGGCUUGUAAGUCAGUGGUGAAAUGCUGCCGCUUAACGGUAGAACUGCCAUUGAUACUGCGAGUCUUGAGUAUGGUUGAGGUAGGCGGAAUGUGUUGUGUAGCGGUGAAAUGCAUAGAUAUGACACAGAACGCCAAUUGCGAAGGCAGCUUACUAAGCCAUUACUGACGCUGAGGCACGAAAGCGUGGGGAGCGAACAGGAUUAGAUACCCGGGUAGUC
rnacentral:rRNA from 1 species